CUCUGGUUGUUACAGCUGUAAUGUAAGAACUACUGAUUGCUGGGAUAUAUAGCUUUUGUGCACCCAAAGCCUCAGUAGCCUUCCUAAUGUUUGGAAUAAACUCUUUCCUACAAGACUCUGCUGGCUGUUGAGCUUCCUUCAUACGAAGAAUACUACAUGGUGUCAGAAGUGGGAUACAAACCUCUCCUGUGCUACAACCUGGAAGCUGGCGUCCCCCGAAAAAGGAGUGUUUAGACAUGGAGUCAUUUCGUCCUCCUCCUCCCCUUGCUAUGCAAGGUAAUUUGGCUGAGAACUGGAGACGGUGGGAACAGGCCUUUCAGUUGUAUCUUGCUGCAGCGGGACUUGAGAAUGUGUCAAAGAAGCGGCAGAUAGCUAUCCUGCUACAUUGUGUGGGAGAGGAAGGAGUUUCUUUAUAUAAUACAUUUGUUUUUGCCGAGGAGAACCCGAAAGAUAUUGCAGAGGUUCUGGAACAGUUUAGGACUUAUUUUUUUACCUCGGAAGAACAUUGUGUUUGAAAGGUUUUGUUUCUGGAACCAUAUGCAGAGUCCUGGAGUUACAAAUGUGCAAUUUAUUGCUGAGCUAAAACUGAAAGCAGCCAGCUGUGAAUUUGGAAUGGCAGUUAAUGAGAUGAUAAGAGAUAAAGUUGUUUUUAGUUUACAGCAAGAGAAACUGAAACAAAAGUUGUUACAAGAAGCCGAUCUUACACUUGAGAAGGCCGUGGAGAUAUGCCGGGUUGAUGAGACAACGAGAGCUCAGCUGAGAACCAUGGCAAUAACAUCGGAAGAAGGAGUGUUUGAAUUACAAGACAGCCAUGGAGAAAACAAAGAGAUUAUAACUCAAGCUCUGGGAACCAGGGAGUCAAGACACAGAGACAAUUGGAAAAAUCAGAAUAAGUGUGGUUAUUGUGGUACAGCUCAUGAACCUCGGAGAUGUCCAGCAUUUGGAAAGACCUGCAACAAGUGUGGCAAGAAAAAUCAUUAUGCCAGGUUAUGCAGGUCAAGGGUGACCAAUCCUGUGAAUAUACAAGCCAGACAACACAUUCAUGAGUUGAAUGAUUCCUAUUAACGUGCGUCAAGAUCUACAAAGAGCUCAGGAAAGACAGAAACAUUUUUAUGAUCGAACAGCAAGACCCCUCAAAUCACUAAGAGAGGGAGAUUUGGUAUGGAUGCAAUCCAAUAAUUGCAAAGAAAGAUGGCUUCCCGCCGUUGUGAUAGAAAAAUGUAAACAGCCUCGGUCAUAUCUAAUAAAGAAUCAGGACGGUCGCGUAUAUCGGCGUAAUAGGCGUCAAUUAAAACAACGGAACCAAACACCCGAAACUACAAUUCAAGGAAAUACAACAUAUAAUGGUUCUAAAGGGAUGUUUGUGAACAAAAGUGACGCACAUGUAAUAGCAGAUAGAAAGCCAACGUAUGUGACAUCGCAUGGCAGGCCUGUGUUUGAACCUGUAAGGUACACUCCUUAGAAGGAUGGUGCUGAAGACCAUCCUCAACGGUGGGCUAAGUACUAGUGACCUCUGGCCCCAUAGAAGACAUAUUUUCUUACCUGUCUAGUGAUGUAAUGAAGCUGCCAAGUUUUAAUGAGAGACUUUUGUAAUCUUGAUGUAUGAUUUUUUAAACACUUUUAUAAAAUGUAUUUUGUUUUGUCUUGUCAGAUGUGUAGUUAUUAUGUAUGAAGGGGAGAUGUGGUAUACUGUGCCUUUAAGCCACACUCUCUGGUUGUUACAGCUGUAAUGUAAGAACUACUGAUUGCUGGGAUAUAUAGCUUUUGUGCACCCAAAGCCUCAGUAGCCUUCCUAAUGUUUGGAAUAAACUCUUUCCUACAAGACUCUGCUGGCUGUUGAGCUUCCUUCAUACGAAGAAUAUUACAGGCACUAUCUCUCAGUAGCAUUACCAUCUGGCAGGACUGGAUACAAAGAAAACAAAUAUAAUUUGAUUAAACACACUGUAAGAUGUCAUAUGGAUAUUGUUUUAUUUUCUAAUAUAUGGGGCAUAAACAAUUAUAAUGGCAGUUUUUCUUUGUUCUAUCGUAGUCCAGUCUAUGUUAGGAUGAGAGACUGUAACUUGUUUAAGACCAACCAGGAGAAUUCCAUGGCAGAGAGAAGAGUUCUAGACCAAUGCUCCAAUCACUACACAAUGCCGGCUCUCAGUGUGGUGCUUAUAUAUACUGUUUUGAAUUGUCUUGUGUUGCUUUACAUUCUUUUUCAAGUAUUAUAUUGCGGGCUGUACACAGCUCUGAGAACAUGUCAUACAAAUUGAGAUGUAAUAUUCUAAUAAAUAACAAAUACAUGAAUUGAUCUGAAGUGUUGUAUGUGAGAGAUUACUUUAGUAUGGUUACUUACGUCUACUGGUAUACAUAGCAAGAAUAAUGAAAUUCUGCCGCAAGCAUAUGCAAGCAAACUGAACACCUGCAGCAAUACUGUAAAGUUUUCGAUUUGCCUUCACCUGCCCCAGUUUGGGAUGCUUCCUACUUGAAACUUCUUCUCUGUAC
rnacentral:lncRNA from 11 species